UUAGGAAUAUUGGACAAUGGGCGAAAGCCUGAUCCAGCCAUGCCGCGUGUGUGAUGAAGGCCCUAGGGUUAUAAAGCACUUUCGUUGGGGAUGAUAAUGACCGUACCCAAAGAAGAAGCACCGGCUAACUUCGUGCCAGCAGCCGCGGUAAUACGAGGGGUGCAAGCGUUGUUCGGAAUCACUGGGCGUAAAGAAUGCGUAGGCGGCUUAACAAGUCGAGAGUGAAAUCCCAGGGCUCAACCCUGGAACU
rnacentral:rRNA from 1 species